CCCUUAGAUGCUCUGGGCCGCACGCGCGCUACACUGGUCGAUGCAACGAGUUUCUUUCCUUGGCCGACAGGCCUGGGCAAUCUUUGAACAUCGAUCGUGAUCGGGAUAGAUUCUUGUAAUUUUUGAUCUUAAACGAGGAAUUCCUAGUAAACGCAAGUCAUCAGCUUGCAUUGAUUACGUCCCUGCCCUUUGUACACACCGCCCGUCGCACCUACCGAUUGGGUGCUCCGGUGAAUUGUUUGGACUGCUGUCAGUCUUUUCGGCCGUCGGCGAGAAGCUCUGUGAACCUUAGCACCUAGAGGAAGGAGAAGUCGUAACA
rnacentral:rRNA from 1 species